rnacentral:rRNA from 1 species
GUGCCAGCAGCCGCGGUAAUACGGAGGGUGCAAGCGUUAUCCGGAUUCACUGGGUUUAAAGGGUGCGUAGGUGGGUUGGUAAGUCAGUGGUGAAAUCCCCGAGCUUAACUUGGGAACUGCCAUUGAUACUAUCAGUCUUGAAUACCGUGGAGGUCGGCGGAAUAUGUCAUGUAGCGGUGAAAUGCUUAGAUAUGACAUAGAACACCAAUUGCGAAGGCAGCUGACUACGCGAGUAUUGACACUGAGGCACGAAAGCGUGGGGAUCAAACAGGAUUAGAAACCCGCGUAGUCC